GGGCAAGUCACUUCCUCUCUCUAGACACCAGUUCCCCAUCUGGAAGAGGAGAUGAUGAGAAAAGUAUACAAUAGCCCAAGAGUAACGGGACUGAGAACAGAGCCCAGAAAGCACUGCAGUAAAAAGCCAUUUGAUCCAGCUUUGGGCUGGGAUUUGGUGUUUACUCCAAAGGAAAGAAUGAAACAUCUUUCCUCCCUCCCUUCCACCUACGCCCUGUGUAAGGAUGGCAUCGUGUUUCCAAAAACUGAAACUUUCUCACCCUGAGGAAGGGAAACAAGUUACGUGCUGCUGACGAUUUGGAGAUCUGUCUAUCGAGCCAUUAUGCUCCUCUAUACUUCAUCAAGGAUCAUGUGAUAGAAAGAAAGUGGGAUUUUGCAUGUUGGAAGAAUAAAGAAGGUUUGGUUUGGAACCAACUAGAGUAGGAAGAAGCCAACUAGAAGAGGCUCUAGGUCAAAAUCCAGAGGCUUCACCCUUGUUCCUAGAAGUCCUCUCUAGAAAGUCCGAGUCAGCAGACAGAGAGAGAAACUGCUGGGAGGGACAACAUCCAAGUGCCCUGAACCCAGGCUGAGCCCAAGACCUGACUCUGGCCACUUGGGCCAGAAACACCCACCGAGUUACUGUCCGUGGUGGACAGGAACAUCACUUAGCCUGCACCCAGGAGAUCCCUAACUGCCCAGGUCUAUUGAGAUGCAGCCAAGUUCUGCCUGUGCCUCAAGUCUUCUGAAGCUACAUAAUUUGACUGCUUUGAAGAUACUUCCCACAAUGCUUCAGCCCAAGAAAACCACUAGACCCCUCUUGGAGGGGAGGAGGUUAUGGAAAAGAAUUUCUGUAGCUAUAUUUUCAGGCCAUGCUGGGCAUCCUAGGGUGUUCAAAGCAGGGAGAUUAGAGUGGGCUAAUAAUCCUCACAUGAGUAUUAGCAAAGGAUGGAAAAACACUCGUAGGACAUCCGAGAGCAAUCAGGAAUCUAUAGGCAGUCUAUGCAUUUAUUUCACUUUCUCAUUACCUAAAACAGUAAACUCCAAAAUUUUGUAAUUGAAAAUCCAUUCAGUAAAAAUUUUGAACAUGCAUUCCCUAAUUACUUAUACUUACUUAUUUGUGAGUUACAUACGUAUACCAUAGUUCUAAUAAUAUGUAUAUUAUAAAACAUACCAAAAAAGGAUAUUUUUUAAAGAUACAAUAAAGAAACAAAUAAUGUUUCUACUAAAUAUCUUGCUGAGUACAUUAUUGGCCAAUAUGUAUUUAGGGUAACUUUUGACAUUAGCAACAGCGACAUAAAUUCAUAUUUUAAAUAAUUUUCUUGAUUUCAAUUUUUUGGGCCAACAUCGUAUUGGAUGAUUACAUUGUCACUAUUUUUACCUCAUGUUGUAUCUUAUAAAGAUCUUGCACCAAAAGUAGAAGUGUUGGCUCUACCAUCUGCCCAUGCAUUGCAUGUUGUUUGCAUUAUCAGUG
rnacentral:lncRNA from 1 species